rnacentral:rRNA from 1 species
UACGAAGGGGGCUAGCGUUGCUCGGAAUUACUGGGCGUAAAGCGUGCGCAGGCGGUUCGUUAAGUCAGAUGUGAAAGCCCCGGGCUCAACCUGGGAACUGCAUUUGUGACUGCAUCGCUGGAGUGCGGCAGAGGGGGAUGGAAUUCCGCGUGUAGCAGUGAAAUGCGUAGAUAUGCGGAGGAACACCGAUGGCGAAGGCAAUCCCCUGGGCCUGCACUGACGCUCAUGCACGAAAGCGUGGGGAGCAAACAGG